rnacentral:rRNA from 1 species
ACUCCUACGGGAGGCAGCAGUGGGGAAUAUUGCACAAUGGGCGCAAGCCUGAUGCAGCCAUGCCGCGUGUAUGAAGAAGGCCUUCGGGUUGGUAAAGAUACUUUCAGCAGUGAGGAAGGUGGAUGCGUUAAUAGCGUAUUCAUUUGACGUUAGCUGCAGAAGAAGCACCGGCUAACUCCGUGCCAGCAGCCGCGGUAAUACGGAGGGUGCGAGCGUUAAUCGGAAUUACUGGGCGUAAAGCGCAUGCAGGUGGUUUGUUAAGUCAGAUGUGAAAGCCCGGGGCUCAACCUCGGAAUUGCAUUUGAAACUGGCAGACUAGAGUACUGUAGAGGGGGGUAGAAUUGCAGGUGUAGCGGUGAAAUGCGUAGAGAUCUGAAGGAAUACCGGUGGCGAAGGCGG